rnacentral:lncRNA from 1 species
UCUGGUUCAUGAUCUCGAUCACCUUCGAGAAAUACUCGUUUAUUUUUUCAGACUCCUUCAUUUGUAAAUUUUGAAAUUAUACGUGUAAGGUCUGCAACUUCACAACAAUCACCUUUGUGGAUCCCUUAAACUCUUCUUGCAAUAUAUUGCAUGCUUAUUUUGAUCUAGUUGCACCAAUUAUCUGAGAGAACAAACUUUCUGUAACACCC